rnacentral:rRNA from 1 species
CCCUUCGGUGACCCAGAUGUUGGACGUAUCAGUCACAGGUUUAAAAUAACAACGAAGAGGAAGCUAAGCAGGGUCGGGCCUGGUUACUACUCGGAUGGGAGACCACCUAGGAAGACCAGGUGCCGUAGGCG